rnacentral:lncRNA from 1 species
GCAAAAAAAAAAGUUUAAUCUUUGCAUCGAGAAGCUGCAGUUCGGUAGUUGGCCAUUCCGCGAGCGAGCCAUAUUUUCUUUUUCUUUUUUUGAGUUUCAAGAGCCACCUCUUGUAUGGGCCUAUUUCUGUUGGUUAGUUCUGGGCGUUGGGCCUUUUCCGUAACAGCCAAACAGCAGACGGCGAGCAUUCCGGGGAGCCGGCGGGUGGAUCGAGCUCGUUCCCCGCAUCGCAGAUCGCAGCUUAUCAUAGCUCUGUAAAGGAAUUCUACACUCAGAUUAUCCUCACUAGUCUCUACUCCCUCCGUUUCAAAGGGGUUUUUGAUUUGGGCAAUGCUAGGCGCCGGCGCACGUUUCGGCCGGUCCAGCCCAAGCCGUCCGAUGCGAGCUGCGCGCGGUUGGAUCUGAAGCAAAAAAAAAACUCGUCCCCAGCUUCUUCUUCCUCGGCUCGAUCCCCUCGCUCGGGCUGCGCAACGCCGCGCCUCCUAUCCCUCGCCGCCCGUCCACACCCUCGCCGCCCAUCCACACCCUCGCCGCCCGUCCCCGUCGCCGCUUCCAAACCUCGCUGCCCGUCCCCGUUGCCGCUUCCAACCUUUCACCGGUCGUCCUCAUCGUCGCCGCGACACAUGAAACAACUACAUAUGCGGUUGCAGCUUGCAGCUUGCAGCGGCGACGCUUGUAACUCUCCCCGGUUGUAGCUCCGCCGCCGCCCCUCGUCGUUGAUGCUCAUCGCUGCAUGAAAUUGCAUCGAUGACGGCCGUCAGCCAUCCACUGUGUGAUUGCGGCUCGGUGGCGACACGCGCAGGUUGAAGCAUUUCGCACAUACGAAUGAAGCUUUCUCUACAACGGAUGCAACUUUUCUGGUUAUGCAGUGUAUGGUUGUAGCUUUCUUUUUCAAUGGUUGUAGCUUUUUUCAUCUACGGUCGAAGCUUUUCUAUCAAACGGUUGCAGCUUUUUUCUUUGUGGCAGCCUUGGUUAAUGCUUUCUAUAUUGUUUCGGGUUGAAGCUUUUUCAUCAAGGGUUGUAGCAUUUUAUGUCGACGGUUGUAGCACUCCGCCAUGGCAAUGACUGCUUGCAGCUUUUGAUGUAUCUGGUUGAAGCUUUUUUCAUCUUGGUUUGAAGCAUUUUAUUAAACGGUUGUAGCAUGAGGGCGUGCGGCAGGUUCUGCAAUGCCUCCGCCAUGUCUGCAGCGCGAGCGCCACCCUCCUUGCAGCUCGCCGUCACCAUGCUCGCCAUCCAUGAUGGCAGCUCUCCUGGGCACCGGUUGCAGCAGGCCACGACGCGGUUCCAUCUUCCGCCCGGGGCCGGCGAGCGAGGACGGCGAACGGCGACGGGGACGGCCGGCGCGGGUGGCCACCGGCGAUGAGGACGGCCGGCGGGGGCGGCGAACGGCGACGACCAACUGAGAUAGGGACCGGCGAGAUGAAAUAGAGAGAGGGGGGAAGCAGCGCAGCCGCGUGGGGCGUUAAUGGCGAGCGAUUUGUGGGCCGAUGGAAGGGGAUCGCACAGGUCGCGCGUGACCGGCCGAGUGGUUCGGCCGAUGCCCCGGCCCCAAACGUUUCCUUUUUGAUUUUUUGCCAUCAAUUACUUUGAACUUUGACAAUUUGCCACUCCUUACAUUGUAAUUGAUCAGUUGCCACUCUUUACAUUAGACUUUCAUCUUUUGCCACUUUUUCACACAAAAACAAUACUUGCUAAUGAUUAACAUAAUAGACAUAUAAAACAGUGGACGAAACUACCCUUUUGUGCUAGUUUGACCAGUGCAGCCAGCCAAUUCACCGUUGAAGUCAAAUCGGGAGGGGGUGAACCGGUUCGCCGCCGCCGUCGGAGUACCAGAUGCCGUUGGUGGCACAGCUGUGCUGCUCCCCGCCGUCCUUGUUGCUCGUGCUGCUCCCUGCCCCCUGACAAGGUUGACAGCCAACCCGUGCCCACCCGACGCCCGUGGCACGAAGGAGGCCGAUGCGUCUCCAGGUAGCAGUGUAGAGGUGGCGCCCUCCCCGUUGCUAAGAGUGAGCUGGCUCCCAGUUGCCGGGAGAAGCGCACACGAGCGUGGGCGCCAGGGCUGUGCUACAGAGAGGAGGAGCAGCGGCAAGCCGCAAAAGCAGAAGGAGCAGCGGCGGCCAGGAAAGGGAGCACCGGCGAGGGAACAAUUAAUGUAAUGAAUUGAUUAAUUAUUGUCCAAAUUGAUGUUCUGAACAUAGAAUCACAAGUUGCAGUUCGUACUGACGCAUCCAUCCAUGCAAAGAAGAGAUGAAUCAAGAUGCAGGUUCUAAGAAUGUCAAAAAGGAGAAGAAAAGAAAGUUGCAGGCUCUGGCUGCAUGGUGCAGCUAGAGACGCGUCGCGGAGCAGCAGCCGUACGAGGCCGGCGGCCCUUGCUGCCGAAGACCUGCAUGGAGGCAGCAGCCAUGCGGCUCGAGGACCACCGGAACGACCUGCACAAGCAGGUGAACGGGUCAACGGGAGAGGAACACGCAUAGCUUCCGCACCAUGGAGGAGUUGCUGCUGUCCGAGGCGGCGAAGGGAAGGGUCGGCCCGUCGGCGCCGUGUUGUACGACUCGUCCCUGCAGCCGUCGUCACCAGAGCCGCAGCGGCAGCUUACAUCACGGCAACGCGGCGACCAGCUGCUACAAGCAGCAGCGGCAGCUUACAUCACAGAAACAUGGUGGCCGGCGGCAGAGCACACGCCGGGAUGUAGCCGCCGCGGGAGGGGGAGCGGGACGGAGAGGACUCACCUCGCCGGGAUGUAGUCGCCGCGGACGACCAGGGCCGUCGGUCGUCGAGGACCACCAAGCGCGACGCCGUUGAGUAGCCGCCGUGGUCUCCUGGCGUUGCUGCCGGCCAGAGGAAGGGGAUGAGACGAGCGACCGAGCUCCUCUCCUGUUCCUGGUCAACGAUCUGGGAGCACGGGCAUUCUGGUCAUUUUAUGCGGGGCCCAUCUGAUAGAGGGCAAAAAAUCAAAGUUCAAUGUAAAGAGUGGCAGCAGAUCAAUUACAAUGUAAAGAGUGGCAAAUUAUCAAAGUACAAAAUAAUUGGUGACAAAAAAUCAAAAAUCCCGUUUUAAAUUACUUAUCGCAAAAAUGAAUGUAUCUAGAACUAAAAAAUGUCUAGAUACAUCAAUUUCUACGACAAGUAAUUUCAAACGGAGGGAGUAGUUGUUUGAGCCUAAAUUUCUGGUAGAUAGUCUAGAUUCGGAAGUAGUGCCGCGGAUGUCUUCCGUGAAGAUUCGAGUCCACGCGUUUCGGAUGAGAACCAGCCACCUGUUGCUGUUUCCUAGUUUUAGAUCUAGACUGCUUCCCCUGAUUAUACUGAGAUGCAUUCAGUGCAAUUUUUGAAAUUGCAAAGGACGUCAGCAGUUAUGCCCUUUGAUGAAGAACAUAGUAAGUUAGUAAAGUGCAUGCUGCCAGCCUCGAGAGGGCAAUGCAUUUUGGUGUAAGAUAGUUGGCAUCGCAAAAUCUGAAGCUCCACCAAUGAUGUAAUUCCCUCAGUACCAAGUAUUAUAGUGCCAAGGACAGGGUGUCGACCCGUUGGCCGGGCAGUUGAGGUUGCUGCCAGCCUACCCGAGUUCAAGUCCCGGCUAGGGUUAGCCCUUGGGUUGGUCUCAUUUUUUUAGUAUUAUAGAGUCAGUGAUCUUUAUUGAGUUAAAUACACUGUGAGUGCCCUAACUUGUCUGAUGUAGUUAGUUUGGUGCCUGAACUUGAAAAAUAUAUAAAAAUGAUGCCGUAACUUGUUCGAAUUUUUUUUUAGUAUUAUAGAGUCAGUGAUCUUUAUUGAGUUAAAUACACUGUGAGUGCCCUAACUUGUCUGAUGUAGUUAGUUUGGUGCCUGAACUUGAAAAAUAUAUAAAAAUGAUGCCGUAACUUGUUCGGAUGUUCAAAUACGGUGCCUUUGGAUGUAUUGCCGCCGUAUCCGGUGCUUGUGUAGCAUGCCAACGUGUCGUUGGCCCACAUGUCAGUGGCUGCGGGCACGAGUCUGCUGUUUUUUUACAAGGAACCCCCAGACUUUAAGUAAAUGGCGCAAAAAAUACAUAAAACGCACUAAGGGAAUUUGAAUAAGGGACCUCGUUGAAAGAGGAAGGAGCUGACCAACCAGCCACGAUUUAGUUUACGUCCAAUUGCUAGCUAGCACGUUAUACAGCCUAUUCGACACGUAUUACACGCUUUUCUUUCAGUUUUCCUUUCAUAUUAUUUUCCAAGUUCCUAUCGGUUUUUUUUACUGAAGUUCCUCUUUAGUUUUCAUGAUACAUAAAUUUUUCAUACGAAAAAUAACAAUGAUCAUCAACAUGCAAUUAUUGUUUAUUUUAUAUCUUUGUUCCAUUUUUUGAUUUAUUGCGUACUUAGAAGAGAUAAACAUGAAUUUUUUUUUCUAAAAUUUUGUUUGGAUUUCAAAAGGUUGAACAUAUAUUAAAAAUUGUGUAAAUUCAUUAAUCUUCAUUUAGGACCACAAGCACACACAAUUAUUGUGUACCUUUAUUGUAUUUUCAAAAUACAAAUUUAUAAAUUUAUUGACAAUAUUUUAUUUUAAAAAUUGUUUAGGGUGUAUUUAAAAUUAUUUUGUAAAUUUUAUAAAUUCUGGAAAUGUACCAAUAUGUUAAGUGUGUUUGUAGAAAUGUAAGAAUAAUUUCACACAAUAUUGUUUUAAUACAAAUUGAACAUUUUCUAAAAACACGGUGAACAAUUUUUGAAAUACACAUUCAAGUUCAUGUUCAUUUUUAUUUUGAUAUUGCUUUUUCCCAUUUUAAAAAAUAAAUCUAAGAAAAAUAACAAUUGCCAUAAGAUUUGCUAAAAGUGUAGUGCAUUUAAGAAAAUGAUCAAGAUGUUUUUGAAAAACGUUUGAUGUGUAUUAAAAAAUUGUAAAUGUGUUCUGAAAAAAUGUUUGCCAUGCAUUAAAAGAAAUAACAACGUGUAUUUAAAAAUGAACAUGAAACUUGAACAACGUGUUUAUCUCACGUCUAUUAAGAAAAUAAACAACAUGUAUGUAUUAAUAAAACACCGAAGAUACACUAUAAUUGUGCGUGCGUGUGGUCUUGAAUGAAGAUACAUAUUUACACAAUAAUUUUUAAUAUAGGUUCAAACUUUUAAAUCCACAUUAAUUUAGAAAAAACCAUGUUUAUCUUCUCAAAGUACACAAUAAUGAAAAUAUAAUAAAUAUAUAAAAUAAACAAUAAUUUCAUAUUCAUAAUCAUAGUAUUUUUCAUUGGGAAAAUUUAUGUAUUAUGAAAACAAAACAGGCUCGGAAAAAGGAUAGGAACUUGAGAAAAAAUAAAAUGGAAACCCGCAGAAAACGUGUACAGAGUGAUACUGCUAUAUUAUUUGCUAGCUACUUGAGUAAAUAGACACAAACCAUGCAGAAAAAAGAGAGUAAAUAGACACAAAGCAAAGCACGGCCGGGUGUUCCGUUCCGUUGUCAGGCAACGUGCCAACCUCAAUUUUACUUUUUGCAACAUUUACUCAAAGUCCAGGGGUCCGUAAAAAACCAAGCCCGCAGCUCACAGCGCCCACAACAUUGGCAGUGACACGCCACACGGGUAAUGGAUACAUCAGCAUGCGUCUAAAGGCACCGUAUUUGAACGUCCGGACGAGUUACGACACUAUUUUUAUGUAUUUUUCAAGUUUAGGCAUCAAACUGACCGAGCUGAACAAGUUAAGGUACCCAUAGUGUAUUUAAGUCAUCUUUAUUAGUACCGCAAGCAAAGGCUGAAGGUAGUUUGAUGUGACCGAGAAAUCCUAGUACUUGUUGCAGAGCUCCGAGGGUCCGAAGACUGGUGGCAGGUGAUCACUCGAGUUCUUAUGUUUGUUAGCUGUUGUUCAGUUAUCUCUGUUUCCCUGAUGCUGAUAGUAACCUAACCACUUUAUGGUUGUUUGUUGGCAGGUCACCACUCAAGAGAUCUUAUGGUCAUUAUCAGGAUGUUUCACUCAACAGUUUUUGUGGUUACCAUUUCAGCCGUGCCCCGACGGCAAGGGUACCCGUCGCGUUCUCCAGUCUCCACCAUGCCUAGUCUUGUCCUGUGUUGUACUAUGUUUUUGUUGCUUCUUAAUAUAAAAGCAGCGCUACCCAUUCUGUUUUUCUUAUCAGUGGCAGCUUGUUUUCCAGUCGUCUCAACUUCAAUAUGCUUCUUCACCUAUUGCUUCUUGGCCUUAUUUUCACCCUACAGAUUCCUGCAUCCUCUGCUGCCAUUGACUCCAUUGCACCAGGCCAAGGACUUGUUUGCGGUGUUAGUGACAAGCUUGUCUCCCUAGAUGGCAAGUUUGCGCUUGGCUUCUUCCAACCAGGCAGUAUGUCCCACAACACCUUGAAUUGGUACCUAGGCAUUUGGUUUAAUAAAGUCCCCAAGAUAACUCCUGUGUGGGUCGCAAACCGUGAUGACCCAAUCACACAGCCCGCUUUAGUUAGCUUCACAAUUUCCCAAGAUGGCAAUCUUGUCAUCUUAGAUCAAGCCACCAAUAGCAUGAUCUGGUCUAGCAGAGUUAGUAUCAGAACCAACACCACCAUUGGCAUGCUCAUGAACAAUGGAAACCUUGUCCUACAAAAUGCCUCAAACUCAUCCGACAUUUUGUGGCAGAGUUUUGACCACCCAACAAAUACUUUCCUCCCUGGUGCAAAGAUCGGCCGAGACAAGGUCACUGGUUUGACUCGCCGUCUUGUUUCCAAAAAGAACUUGAUUGACCCAGCUCGUGGUCGUUACGUUUAUGAGUUAGUUCCUAACGAGUUGAUCCUUAAGCUUUUGAACUCAUCCGUAGCAUACUGGUCUAGCGGGGAAUGGAAUGGACAGUAUUUUAGCUCCAUUCCGGAGAUGUUAAGCCGCAGCUUGAUAGACUUCAAGUUUGUCAACAACACAAAUGAAGAGUACUUCACAUUCACCUUACUGAACGACACGAUGAUCAUGCAUCAUCUACUUGAUGUUUCUGGUCAAAUGAAGACUUUAAUCUGGGAUGAGGUUUCACAGGAUUGGUUAGGUUCCUACUCCAACCCCAAAGCUCAGUGUGAUGUCUAUGCUCUCUGUGGACCAUUCACUGUGUGCGAUGAUAACUCAGCUCCAUAUUGUAGCUGUAUGAAGGGCUUCUCCAUAAGAUCCCCAGAGGACUGGGAGCAAAAUGAUAGAAGCCGUGGAUGCAUGAGAAAUACUCCUUUAAAUUGUGGCAGUAACAGGAGUACUGCAGGAGUGACCGAUGAAUUCUAUUCCUUGUCCAAUGUGAAAUUGCCUCAGAAUGCUGACAACAUUGGCGCUGCUAUCAGUGCUAGAGAAUGUGCAGAAGUUUGCCUGAGAAAUUGCUCUUGCACUGCAUAUUCUUGCACUGACAGUCGAUGCUCCAUUUGGCAUGAGGAACUUCUCAAUGUAAAACAGCAGCAUGCUGACACUACCGAUACAAAUGAUGGUGCAGUUCUUUAUCUUCGCCUUGCUGCAAAAGAGAUGCAAACUCAGAAACCUGACCGAAGAGUGGCCACUCGGAUUUUGUCAGCUGCCAUUGUCACCGCACUGGGGUUGCUGGCACUCAUAUUGCUAGUUCUUCUACUGAUGAUUCGGGGGAACAAUAGGGAUUGGUCUGGUGGUACACUGAAAAAUCCUCAAGACGGUGGUGGAAUUAUUGCAUUUAGAUACAUUGAUUUGCAGAGGGCAACAAGAAAUUUCUCUGAGAAGCUAGGUGCCGGCGGCUUUGGUUCUGUGUUCAAGGCAUAUCUGACCGACUCAGCUACAAUGGCAGUGAAAAGGCUUGAUGGUGCUUGUCAAGGAGAAAAACAAUUCAGGGCUGAGGUGACUUCAGUCGGAGUUAUACAACAUAUCAAUUUAGUUAGACUGAUUGGUUUCUGUUGCGAGGGUGAACGGAGGUUACUUGCAUAUGAGCACAUGCCAAAUCGUUCUCUUGACAUCCAUCUAUUUCAGGACAACAACACAGUUUUAAACUGGUGUACCAGGUAUAAAAUAGCUCUGGGAGUUGCUAGAGGGCUGGCUUACCUGCAUGAGAGCUGCCAAGACUUGAUCAUACACUGUGAUAUCAAGCCACAAAAUAUACUUCUUGACACGUCGUUUGUUGCUAAAAUUGCUGACUUUGGUAUGGCCAAGUUAAUAGGGAGGGAUUUUAGCCGGGUUCUGACUACAGCAAGAGGAACUGCAGGAUACCUUGCACCCGAAUGGAUAAGCGGGGUUGCUAUCACAGCAAAAGUCGAUGUUUAUGGCUACGGGAUGGUGCUAAUGGAAAUAAUAUCAGGAAGACAGAAUUCAUUUGAACAAUACACUGUCGGUGGUGAUUGUGUUGUUUUCUUCCCUGUGCAUGCUGCGCAAAUGCUUCUCGAGGGAGAUGUGGCAAGCUUGGUGGAUGAAAAAUUAUCAGGUGACGUAAAUCUAGAGGAGGCUGAACGACUAUGCAAGGUUGCUUGUUGGUGCAUUCAGGAUGAUGAGUUUGAUCGGCCGACAAUGGGCGAUGUUGUUCGUACUCUAGAGGGUUUAUCUGAUCUUGAUACGCCUCCCGUUCCAAGACUACUUCAGGCCAUUACAAGGAGGAGCUCUCACCCCCCUUCCACCUACCUCUCUAAUGAAUCAGAAUAAUGAAGAUGCAACAUGGCGUACAUCAGAAACAAACAUCUAUUCCCUCCGGUCCAAAUUAAUUGACGCAGACUUAGUACAAAGUUAAUAUGAACCGGAGGGAGUAUUAAUAUAUAUGAAACAUAGUAAGAAAGUCUGAGGAAGCAAGAAGAAUGACACCAUAUAUCUGUGUAAUUUAAGCUUUACUCUCUGUAGUCUGUACCAGGUGUGAAAAAUAUCUGUCCAAUCGUUCUAAUCUACAGUAUGAAAUGAAAUUCGUCAAAAGCUCAGUGCAAUCUCUUGCAGGAUUGAUUUUGCUUCGUGGUGGUUUCGUUCACUUCUUCACUGGAAUAUAGUAUAUGUGUUAUCAUUUGUUGCCUUGCUCUGUUUAAUAUGGGAUUUUAGUCUGAGUAUGAUAAAUUCUAAAGUUAAUUUGAGGGCGGUCGUUCCUCAGGAUUCGUGGUAGUAGCUUCAUAUUCUGAUGGUCAUUUUGAAUUUGGACGGGAUGCAGUGUUGGUGGUGUAGGCCUUUCUGUUCUGUUCCAUUCCAUGACCAUUGCCCAACACAGAAACUACCGAGGCCUUAUUUUGAGCAUUGUGCUUGCAACAUGAAAAAUUUCGUGGAAGCAAUCGCUGGCUUGCAGCUGAAUUAUGCACAACGGAGUGUCAAGAUUCUAGUAUUUAAAUCUUACAUACAACUUUAGGUACACAUUCAUUCGCAAAAAAAAAGAAGCCCCUUUAGAUACACAUUGCAUACCAACAAGACCUCCAUUGCCGUCUCAGUCGACGCCGAGGGUUUGUGUUUCAAUUCACAGGCUGCUUCUGAGGGAUUUUGGAUGGAUUGGGCCAAAGAAAAAUAAGGAACAAGUGCUGCAUUUUUCAUGACGUUCAGUCCCUAAUAAAUAUGGGCAUCAUUACAAUAUUUUUUGGGUUAUGUAUUUUUGUAAAGUAGAACCAAUUACCUAAAUCAUCA